GUGCCAGCAGCCGCGGUAAGACGAACCGUGCGAACGUUGUUCGGAAUCACUGGGCUUAAAGGGCGCGUAGGCGGACCACCAAGUCCGGGGUGAAAUCCUUCGGCUUAACCGGAGAAUUGCCUGGGAUACUGGUGGUCUUGAGGGAGGUAGGGGCACGCGGAACUUCCGGUGGAGCGGUGAAAUGCGUUGAUAUCGGAAGGAACGCCGGUGGCGAAAGCGGCGUGCUGGCCCUCUUCUGACGCUGAGGCGCGAAAGCCAGGGGAGCGAACGGGAUUAGAAACCCCGGUAGUCC
rnacentral:rRNA from 1 species